GGAGUGGCUCAGUGAUAAGAACAUCUGCUUGGCAUGCAGAAGGUGCCAGGUUCAAUCCCCAGCAUGACCA
rnacentral:tRNA from 1 species